GGCGCCAGGCGAGCUGGCGGGCGGGGGCAGGACUCCGGCUCGAGGCUGGGCCCGGGCGGAGCGCGCGGCCCGCCAUGGAGGUGGAGGAGGCGUUCCAGGCGGUGGGGGAGAUGGGCAUCUACCAGAUGUACUUGUGCUUCCUGCUGGCCGUGCUGCUGCAGCUCUAUGUGGCCACCGAGGCCAUCCUCAUUGCACUGGUCGGGGCUACGCCGUCGUACCACUGGGACCUGGCAGAGCUCCUGCCGAAUCAGAGCCACGGCAACCAGUCGGCUGGGGAAGACCAGGCCCUCAGGGACUGGCUGCUGACGGCCAACGGCAGCGAGAUCCGUAAGCACGUGCACUUCAGCAACAGCUUCACCUCCAUCGCCUCUGAGUGGUUUUUAAUUGCCAACAGAUCUUACAAAGUCAGUGCAGCAAGCUCUUGCUUCUUCAGUGGUGUGUUUGUGGGAGUUAUCUCCUUUGGUCAGCUUUCAGAUCGCUUUGGAAGGAAAAAAGUCUAUCUCACAGGUUUUGCUCUUGACAUCUUAUUUGCUAUUGCAAAUGGAUUUUCCCCCUCGUAUGAGUUCUUUGCAAUAACUCGCUUCCUGGUGGGCAUGAUGAAUGGAGGGAUGUCGCUGGUGGCCUUUGUCCUGCUGAAUGAAUGUGUGGGCACCGCCUACUGGGCACUUGCAGGAUCGAUCGGUGGCCUCUUCUUCGCAGUUGGCAUCGCCCAAUAUGCCCUGUUGGGAUACUUCAUCCGCUCCUGGAGGACCCUCGCCAUUCUGGUUAACCUGCAGGGAACAGUGGUCUUUCUCUUAUCUUUAUUCAUUCCUGAAUCACCUCGUUGGUUAUACUCCCAGGGUCGACUGAGUGAGGCUGAAGCGGCUCUGUACCUCAUCGCCAAGAGGAACCGCAAGCUCAAGUGUACGUUCUCACUAACACAUCCGGCCAACAGGAGCUACAAGGAGACUGGAAGUUUCCUGGACCUGUUCCGUUACCGGAUCCUCUUGGGGCACACUCUGACCCUGAUGUUCAUCUGGUUUGUGUGCAGCUUGGUCUAUUAUGGUCUAACGUUGAGUGCAGGGGAUCUAGGUGGAAAUAUUUAUGCCAACCUGGCCCUGUCUGGCCUCGUAGAAAUUCCGUCCUACCCUCUCUGCAUCUACUUGAUUAACCAAAAAUGGUUUGGUCGGAAGCGGACAUUAGCAGCAUUUCUGUGCCUAGGAGGACUGGCUUGUCUUAUUGUAAUGUUUCUUCCAGAAAAGAAAGACACAGGUGUGUUUGCAGUGGUGAACAGUCGUUCCCUGUCUCUGCUGGGGAAGCUGACUAUCAGUGCUGCCUUUAACAUCGUGUAUAUCUACACCUCGGAGCUUUACCCUACAGUCAUCAGGAAUGUUGGGCUUGGAACUUGUUCCAUGUUCUCCCGAGUUGGUGGGAUUAUUGCUCCCUUCAUCCCCUCACUGAAAUAUGUGCAGUGGUCUUUACCCUUCAUUGUCUUUGGAGCCACGGGCCUGACCUCGGGCCUCCUGAGUUUAUUAUUGCCAGAAACCCUUAACAGUCCAUUGCUAGAGACGUUUGCUGACCUUCACGUGUAUUCAUAUCGGAGGCUGGGGGAGGAAGCGUUAUCUUUACAGACUUUGGAUCCCCCACAGUCUGCGGGCAGGGAGAGCGCAUCAGGGAGUGAGAGUGAGGAGGAGGAAGAGUUUUAUGACGCCGAUGAAGAGACUCAGAUGAUCAAGUGAAGAGCCCAGAUUCCUCCUCAGAAGCAGAGGAUCAUCUUUUGUGCCUCUGGCUAAGAAUUUCCAUUUCUACUAAUCUCUUGGAGGAAAGAAAUUGCAUUAGAGGUAAAGAGAAGAUGUUACUGUGACUGCUUCUGGAAACCUUGGAGGGAUCACCCCUAGUUGGCUCCGACACUCUUCUGUCCUCUUCCACGUUGACCUCUUGGCUUGCCCUCUAUCAGUCUUUGUAUUUGUUAAAGUAUUUUUAUGUUCUUUAUGCCCUUGAUUAUGUAUUGGGCUCUUCACAAAUUGGGCCAUCUCUACUAGUGUUUAUUUCUCUCUGCUGUGCCUAGACAUGGGCCUAGACACAGUAGGGCCCUAAUAAGUAUUACUGUUUCUAGCCAUCAGGGAAACUGUGGAACUCCUCCCAGGAUCAUUUUUAUAAAUCCCAGGCAAAUCUGACCCAAACCCCCAAAUUGUGGAAUCCUGCUUGUCUUUCUGGAAAAUGGAGACCCUGCCCAACACCAGAAGAAGAAGAGAGGAAGAACUUACAAGGACACUUAGAAGCUCUUCAUCAAUGGUCAGGCAUUAAAGAUAAAACAGUAAACCAACAUAUAUGUGAUUUUUUGGUUGGUUGGAGCUCUCUUUGAGUUAUAAGGGUAAUACAUCCCAUUAUAGAAAAUUUGGAAACUAGAAGUUAAAUUUAUAUCCCUGGGUAUUAUAGGCCUAAUACCCAGAGAUAAGCAAUGUAUGGCUUUGUUCUAUUUGAAGACCAACUGGAAAUCCAUCUCUCUAUUAGCACUGGGCUUCCCUCUGCCUCUGGCUAAGUAAAUGAGGAUUUAGUUCUAUCCCUGAGUCUCCUUAUCCCAGCUACGGGGUGGAAGAAGAGAGGGAGGGAUACACAGGUUGAACACAUGUUGCCUAAUAAGGCUGGGCAGGCUACCAGCUGCUCAUAUCAGAUGUGUCACUAAAUUUUGUUUCUUUCUAGAUGGUCUUUUGGCAAAGUUUAAUAAUUACUGUUUUUUCAUUCCACUGCCUUUUAUAAAAAGAAAGUUUUUUCCCUUUGCUAUUAACUGUUGAAGAAUAGUGAUUGUAGAGAAUAUCACAUGUGUAUAGUUGUCUUGAUUAAAUUAUUGGAAAACUUUUAAUUUAUGGCUAAAAUAUUUUGUUUGUGCAGAUGAUUUGUAAAAGAUAUCCUUUUUUAUUUUUUUGUUGUAUUCAAAGUUAAAUCUCUUUUCUCCAAAGCAGCAAGAAAAAUGUAAGAUACAUAAGAAACCCUGGGGUUUCCAGGGUCAGAGGUCUAAGAGCUUGUCCAGAGCCUUGGCACCACACGGAUAUGUUGAAAGAAACUGUUUUGUGGUUUCCUGAUGAGUUAAAACCACUGCCCAUUGAAAAUGCAGUAUUUGUCAUUUGACUGCUUUCAAGCAAUAUAGACGUUCUUUAGUAUUUAAAAAUGAGUAAAUAAAAUACAACAAAUAAACAAGAAGCAAAUAAAAGUUUCUGGGGCACUGCUUAAGUGAAUGUAAUUUGGACAGGUAUUUUUAUGGAGGUCAGAUUGAUGAAGAUACUUUUAGUAGAUUUAUAUUCUUAACAUUGAAAUAAUUGUUACUAUUGUAUCAGAGUUAAAAUACAGCUUUCCAAUAGGACUUACUCCUCCAUUACAAAUUCUUAUUAGUUAAUUGGUUCUUAAAUUGAAAAGAUAUCUAUAAGGAAUUUUUUU